rnacentral:rRNA from 1 species
UACGUAGGGGCCUAGCGUUGUCCGGAUUUAUUGGGCGUAAAGAGCUCGUAGGCGGUUCGGUAAGUCAGGUGUGAAAUCUCCACGCUCAACGUGGAGGCGCCACCUGAAACUGCCGUGACUCGAGUCCGGUAGGGGAGUGUGGAAUUCCCGGUGUAGCGGUGAAAUGCGUAGAUAUCAGGAGGAACACCGAUGGCGAAGGCAGGUCUCUGGGCUGACACUGACGCUCAUGCACGAAAGCGUGGGGAGCAAACAGG